rnacentral:rRNA from 1 species
GUCGCGGGCGUUGGAAAUUUGAGAGGAGCUGUCCUUAGUACGAGAGGACCGGGAUGGACUUACCGCUGGUGUACCAGUUGUUCUGCCAAGGGCAUUGCUGGGUAGCUAUGUAGGGAAGGGAUAAACGCUGAAAGCAUCUAAGUGUGAAGCCCACCUCAAGAUGAGAUUUCCCAUUUCUUUAAGAAAGUAAGAUCCCUGAGAGAUGAUCAGGUAGAUAGGUCAGGAGUGGAAGUACAGUGAUGUAUGGAGCGGACUGAUACUAAUCGAUCGAGGACUUAACCACA